CGUCAAGAAGCUAUAUAGCGUUAACCUUUUAAGUUAAAGACUGAGAGUUCCCUAACCUCUCCUUGAUGA
rnacentral:tRNA from 1 species